rnacentral:lncRNA from 1 species
AUAUGUUUUUUUUACACAUUAUAAGUACAUUUCCUUGCCAAACGAACAUCUUAUUAUCUUUUCGUCGAAAAGUGAGUCACUUCGUGAUUCAUUCUCUUGUCAAAAUCUCUAUUUUAUGUUUUAUUCUAUUUUCUUAUCCAUUAGUUCUAAAUCUUUAUAAAGAUAUAAACUGGCCGUAAAUUUUCUUUUAUUGAAAUUUUCUUCUCCCCUAAUUUGGUGGUUGGGAGUUUAUAGCUUGUUAAAUAUAUUUUUGGUGAUUAUUUCAAGAUCUGAAGCUUUUACAUCUCAGAUCUAAGAACUUGUCCUUUUUUUUGCGGUUUGUAUGUCUUGGUGGUGCACUUUUACUACAUCUUAAGUUAUUAGAUUCCAGAUCUAGAAAAUCACAGGGUUGAUCUACUUAAAUGAUGCGACUAGCAAUCAGAAUGAUCAAUAAUAAUGGUCGGAAAUAUUUCGAUGAGCACAAGAGACAUCUCUGGCGGUGCGCAAGUUGUUAUGUGCACAUCUUGGGUGGAUCCUUUCAAUUCUAAUCCCAAUGCAUAAAAUCUUUAACCGGAUGUCGGUAAGCUUACAAUUAAUUGUUUUUUGCAUUUAAUUAGAUAUUAUUAAAAAUCUUUCUUUGACUGUCAUUAUCGUCAUCCUCAUCAUCGUUAUUAUCAUUAUUUUUCUAUUGUUUUUAUAUUUAAUUGUGAAAUAAAAUUGGGCUUGUAGUCCAUUGGUAAUUCAUGCGUCCAAUAACCUUGAUCGCAUGAGUUUGAAUCUCAUAACUCGACUCUUCUUUCCUAAAUGUUUAUUUGACUCUCUGUUUUAGGAGUAGAAUAUAUUUUUCUCCUAUGUUAAAGUGAGAGUUGUUGUUCGGGCUGUGAUAUCUUAGAAUUACAAAGGAGAGUUGCGAUUGGUGUUUGGUUAUAAAAAUAUCAGUAGAGUUAUAAUUGUAAUAUAUCAGUAUAUUAAAAAAAAGUUAUUAUCAUUUCACUACUUCAAAAAUUAUCAAUUAUCAAAUGACUACAACAAGUAUUGUCUCCUAUAAUUUUCUUACUAUAUCUUUAUAAAAAUAUCAUUUUACUACUUUUCUGUUAUAACCAUUAGUUAACCAGUUAGUUGACUAACAAAAUACCAAUUUCAUCCUUCAUGAUUAAAAAAAAAAAUACUUGAAACUUAUUUACAAAAUAAAUUUGUAAUAUAUUUAUUAAAAUAGAUAUAUAAUACCAACAUAAUUCUUUUUGCUGGAAUUAUGAUAUAUGGAUUAUAAAUUUGUUUUAUUAUUAUUUUUAAUUAUGAAGGGUAAAAUUGAUAUUUUAUUAGUCAACUAACUGGUCAACUAACGGGUCAACUAACGGUUGUAACGGAAAAGUAGUAAAAUAAUAUUUGUUGUAACGGAAAAGUAGUAAAAUGAUAUUUUUAUAAAGAUAUAGUAGGAAAAUAAUAUGAGACAAUACUUGUUGUAGUCAUUUGAUAUUUAGCAAUUUUUGAAGUAGUAAAAUGAUAAUAACCCUAAAAAAAAUUGUGUAACAAAAUUAUAAAAAAUCAUAAAUAUGUCAUUAAGCAUAUUAAUUGCUAAUCUCUAGUAAAUUGCGUAUAAAUUGAAACAUAAAUUUGACAUUAAGCACUCAGCAGGUUGUAAGAUAUAGAGGAAGAACAUGACAAAAAUAGUUGAGCUAGACACAUGAGAGUAGGAGCGCGUACAUAUAUACAUGAAAAAUACUUCGCUGUUCCAAUAUCUAGUAAAUUGCAAAUUUCUCAUAACUCUUAGAAUUACUUGGAAAAAUUAUUGCUUCUCUAAAUAUUGGAAUUUUUUUUUAGAUUGAUGUUUUUAUUCACAUAACAGGACACACUAAUCUUUAUUGAUAAAUUUGAAAUUUGAUGGAGCACAUAGCAAUACUUCUAAUACUAUAUUCAUUUUAUUUUAUAGAUUAUUUUUCUUUCUAACCUUUAGUGUAUUUUGAGAAAGAUAAAUAAAGAAAAUCUCUAUUCAAAGCAAUUUUUUAGGAGGAAAGAUGGAGAAAGUAUAUCUCAAAGAGAAUUAAAAAAAAAAAUUACCCUGUGAUAAUAGGUGAUAUGAACUUAAAUUUAUGUUGUAAUUAAAGUCGAAUUUCAUCAAUAUGUGAUAUAAGAAUGCAUUUUCUCAUAUUUUCAUCAUUAAUAUAAGAUAUUUAAUGCAUUUUAUCCUAUUUUCUUCGGUUCUUCACUAGGUUUCAAAUAUUAAGACAGGAUCCCAAAAAAAAAAACAAGUUUCAUCGUAGGUAUGAUGUAGAACAUUAUGCAAAACUAAUCAUUAAAAAAAAUAAUUAAUAACUAAUUUUAGAAAAUGAUUGCCUAAGUAAGUGAUUGAAUAGAUGUUACAUUUUUCUACGAUUCUGUACUAUUCAACUUUAUUUUUAAUUUGAAAAAGAUUCUGUAGUAGUUCUCCACAGAAUCUAAGAAAUGCAGCAUCUUAAAACAGUAGUGUUAUGUCAUUUGUUAUAUCAUCCAUUUUUUAGUAAUGACUAUGUUACUCUCUAAAAUUGGUUAUUAUCAGUUUGUCACAAUUUUUUUUAUAUAAAAUAAUUUUUUUUAGGUUAUAGUACGAAUUUUUUUCCUUAAUAAUGGAGAAAAUCUGAGAAGAUGCAUUCUUAUAUUACCACAUAUUUAUGGGAUUGGACUUUAAUUGCAAUAUAGAUUCGAGUUUAUUUUCAUCUAUUCUCACAAGACCCAAAAAAAAAAAAAAAAAAAAAAAAAAUCUCUUUAAAGGCUUAAGGGCUAUAUAUAUAUAUAUAGAGUUGAUUUUUCUUAUGUUUAGAAAGAGUAUAUUGACUGAAGUAGAUUUUCUUUCUCCUUCUUAGGAAAAUCACUUUGGAAUCAAUGCUCAAAAUAAAUAUAUUUGUGUAACCAAUUAAUUUCACAUUUAUCAGUAUAAGUGUAACCAAUUGAUUAAGAUAAAAAAAAUGCAUCAACCUCAAGAAAUAUUAUCAUAUUGAGAGAAGUAGGAACGCAGUGAUUAAGAAAUCUUAUCUUUGUAGGAUUAGUGAAAUACUAGGUAUUUGUGUGACUUCGUAUUUUACUGGGGUUAUUAUCUAGAAAUUUCAAUUUCUUUUUUGUUUUUUUUUUUUAAGUAAACACUCAACUAACCGAGGAGAUUUAUUAAAUUGAAAGAUCAGUAGUAUUUAAUUGGAUUAGGAUUGAACAGUAUUUAACAUUGAGAUUUUAAAAUUUUGAUCUAUUACAUCUCAUCUUCAAAAUUUUAAAUUCUCAAUCUUAAAAUGUAUUCAAUUCUAUUUUAAAUUGAAAUUGAUUAGUCUAUGAAUAAUCAUUCAACGAUUAAAAGUAGUACUACAAACAAGGACACCUUAUUUGACAUACUAGAUACAGAAUUACAAGAAAAUGCAUUUUUUAUAUCACAUGUUUAUGACAUUAGGCUUAAACUUCAAUAUAAAUUCAUCAAGUGUUACCUAUUCUAAGCAAAAAAAACUUCAUUAUAGCACAGAAGGACCAUGUAAACUGCUCAAAGAGAUUUUUUUUUUCUAAUUCUUCUCCUUUUUUUAUUUUUUUUAGAGGAGGUGCACCGAAUGAAUUUGUAUUGAAGUUUAAGCCUAAUGUCAUAAAUAUAUGACAUAAAGAAUGCAUUAUCCUCGGAUAAUAUAUUUAAUUAAAUAGAAUUGAAUCAGAGUAAUUUCUUCUGUCCAAGUUUAUUUGUUUUCAAUAUUUUAGUUUGUUUACUUUUUAUUUUAGAGUUUCGUGUAAAUUUAAAUAACAAAAUAAGUUUAAGAAAACAGCUGGCUUUUUCUAAAGUUGAUAAAUUUUGUGAACAUCAUUGCUAAUAUUACCCGAACUUUGCCAUAAAUCAAUUUAAAAAAAAUAAAUGCUUUCAAAGGAUAUUGAUGUCAUUGCAGGCUCAAUUUUAUUUUCUGAUUGAAAAUAAAUUUUGAUUUUUCUACGAUCAGUAAAGGUUCAAAUUCUUAUUCUAACAACAAACGUUGUUUUGAUACUCUCUGUUAUUAUGUUAUAGAAAUUGGAUUGUUCUUCCCUCAAACUUUUAUUAUGCGGGUAGUUUAGAAGCUUAUUUAUUAGUUCCUCUUAAAGGUUAAACCAGAAUGAAUAUACAAGUACGAACGACAGUGUCAGUUAUUAUAAAAAUUGGUGUAUGACAUCGAGGUUAGAUAGAACACGACAUGUCGGUUGGAAGCUCCAAUUUCAUAUAUGACAUCAAUCUAAUGUCAUACGAAAAAGUUAUAUAAGUGAAGCAUGCGUUUUUCACAUGACCUCAUGGUAUCUUUGAAGCACAAAACAGUAAGCUCAGGGUGCCGUUUGAAUAACUUAUUUGUAUCACAUGAUUUGCACGUGACAAAUGCUGUUAAAGUUAGUUAAAAGAGGCGGGAAGAUUCUAGGUUUGUUUCAACAAACCCAGAAACUUAGCUUAGCUACUGAACCAACUUCUAGGAGCUUCCUAGACCUGUAUAUAAAGCCAUAGUGGCUCUAAUCUCGGUGAGGGUAUUCCUUGUAACUCUCUCUACAAACUUGUAACCUGGUUUGAGUGAAUUGACGAAAAAAGCCAUGAUAUGUUUCUCAAAGAGGACGUAAGCCACCUUCGCUGAACCUCUAUAAAUCUAUUGUUUUGAUUUUCAUCUAUUCUUUUAAGCUUGUUUGACGUUAGAUUAUUUCUUGUUUGUCUUAUUAUUGUUCUUUGAUUCAUUAAUUAGCAAUCGUUUUGGGGCGAAAGAUCAGGAUUUAUCAAAUUUAAAAAAAUUAGUAUCAAGCUGGACCCUAAUAACCAAAAUGUGAUGGUGGAACAACUUAAAUUUGUGAUGGUGGAACAACUUAAAUUUGUUGGACAAAAAGACUAGAGUCCAGUAGUGGUUUCAUCCGGGGGGAGAUUGUUAAAUUGUGUCCCACAUUAACUAGUAAAUAGAAAAUACAUGAGUUAAUAAGUAUGAUAUAACACUUCAUCAAAUAAGUUCGUUUUUUUGGUUGGGUACCUAGAAAUAUAAGCCAAGUCCCCAACAAUUCCUACCAUAAUUAAUGGUAAAUAUUUAUUUAGUGGGAAAAAAAAAGAGAAAUUUAUUAUACAAAAAUCUCUUUGUUCAAUAAGUGAAACUUUACUUCAUGUGAAUGAUAGAAAAGAUAAUUCAAAUAGAACAUACACAUAUUUGUAAUUGAAUCCCUAAAAGCUGUGAUAUGGUUUAGUAGUAUCCCUAUACACAGAAAUUUCUAGUCAUUGAAAGAUUUGUAUGAUAUGUAUAGGUUAUUUUUUGUUAGUCACCACCCCUCUUAAUACUUGUCCUGUCAAAGCACGGUCAAUUGCAAUCUGACAAGAGUAGUAUCGACGGCGCUUGGAAACAUCAGUGUCUUCCAGUUGACCAAUUUCUUUCCUUCACCAAAUCAUUCCCAACAACAAGAUCUUCCACUGACCAUGAUGUGGAGCCUGAGUAAUAUAUGGAUUAGCAUUAGAAUGUGCGCAGUUUAAGGUAACUAGAUGCCAAAUCAAACGUAUAAUUAAAUAGUAGGUUUAUCAGUUCAAUACCUUGAACUGAGGCAAUAAUUGAUUGUUCGAUUUGGGGGAAUAGUUUCCUGCGCCCGUAAAUGGCAUCUCGGGCCAUCUUUGUCCCAUGUAUCCUUACCCUGUAAAAAAGGGAAAAAAUAAAAAUGUGUUAACAAAGAUGCUUAAUUAAAACAAUUUAAAAAGAUAAAAUAAAUAUAUUAACACACUUACUGGGACUUGUCAACAGCAGGAUCAAAUAUCUGGUAAAUCACUAAUUCGAUAUUUAUAAAAUUACUUUUAUUAUUAAUAUUUUUCUCGAUAUUAUAAUAUUUCGUGAGAUUGAUGGGUUAUUUGUUCUUAGUAGUGCACAUUUAUCUUUGCUAAUAAAUGUGAAAUUUGGUGAAUCACAUGCCAAUAUUUGUAAUACUAUAUCCAUUAAUUCUGUAAAUUUUUUGUAGACUUUUAGGUAUACUUUGAAGGAGAGAAAGAAUACAUAGCACUUAAAGAGAUGUUAUUUUUGUUUUAUGAGAGUAUGUGGACAAUGAACUGAAAUUUAUAAUGUAGUUAAUGUUUAAUAUCAUAAAUAUGAGGCCAUAUAAAAAUGCUUAUCCUCAGAUUUUCUUUCUUUAAUGUCAUAAAAAUGUGACCAUAAAAGAAUGCUUAUCGUUAGAUUUUCCUUCCGUUAAUGUGAUAAUUAAAUAUGCGACCAUAUAAUACAUAUUCUCAAAAUUUUC